AUUUAUUUAUUUAUUUAUUUAUUUAUUUAUUUAUUUAUUUAUUUGAGGCAGGGUUUCUCUGUGUAGCCCUGACUGUCCUGGAACUCAGAGAUUUGCCUGCUUCUGCUGGGAUGAAGGGCGUUCACCACCACAUCUGGCUGAUGUGAAGUUUUGAAAUGUUGGUGGUGAUGCACACAGAAAGGGCUAUUUUUUCUUUUUUUUCUUUUUGAGACAGGGUCUCACGAAGUCCAAGCUAGGCUCAAACUUACUGUGUAGGUGAGGAUGCCUUUAAUUUUCUUAUCCUCUUGCUUCCAACUCCUAAAUUCUGGGACUACAAGCUUAAGACACAUGCCCGGUUUUCUGUGGUACUAGGGACUGAACCCAGCGCUUCGUGUGUGUUAGUCAAACACUCUUAUCAACUGAGUAACACCUCUUGGGGUGUCUCCCUCUCCCCUCUCCCCUACCCCCUCUCCCCUCUUCCUCUCCCCGCCCCCUCUCUCUCAAGGAAAUAAGAGGUUGUUUAUUCUGGAGCGAUUUUGAGUUUCCAUGGCCUAGGAAUAGAGAUUUAAGUUACCCCACAUUUAUGUUCUAAUGUGGAAGCUUCAGAAGGUUUUUAUAGCUUUACACAACAACAAAUCCUAAAUCAAGGUAAAUUUAAAUAUAUCAGUAGACACAUCAGAGAAGCAGAAUGGGGGAAGCUUUUCUCUUUCUUUCUUUCUUUCUUUCUUUCUUUCUUUCUUUCUUUCUUUCUUUCUUUCUUUCUUUCUUUCUUUCUUUCUUUUUUUUUUAACGAGACAGGGUUUCUCUGUGUAGCCCUGGCUGUCCUGGAACUCAUUCUGUAGACCAGGUUGGUCUCGAACUCAGAGAUCCACCUGUCUCUGCCUCCCGAGUGCUGGGAGCCACCACGUCUGGCAGGGGAAGCUUUUCUAUUGGCCCAAGAUGCCAUCUGAUCUUUUUUUUUUUUUUUUUUAAGAUUUAUUUAUUAUAUGUAAGUACACUGUAGCUGUCUUCAGACACACCAGAAGAGGUCGUCAGAUCUCAUUACGGGUGGUUGUGAGCCACCAUGUAGUUGCUGGGAAUUGAACUCGGGACCUUCAGAAGAACAGUCAGUGCUCUUACCCAUUGAGCCAUCUCGCCAGCCCGCCAUCUGAUCAUUUUAAUAGAUAGAAUUUUCCUUUUCUUAAGGAAAUAAGAGAUAGUUUGUUCUGGAGCCAUUUUGAUCAUGGUUCUAGAAGACAGAUUUAGGUUUCCACAAAUUCUAUGUUCCAACAAUCCCUGUUAAUGGUGGCAUUGUGAAGAAGGCCUGUUGAAAUAAUUAAUUGAUAAUUCCUGGCGUUAUGUUCCAGAAUGAAAGACACACACAUAACCUUUGUGUUUUGUAUUGUGCCUUACUCAGCACAAUAGCUGGCCACUGCCUGACCUCCACUACUGAUGGAAUCUACCUUGUACAGAGAAUUCCAAGAAUUCUGUGUUCUGUUUUGUGCUCUGGACCCACUGGUCUGGGCUGCACUCUCCUGGUUCCUUCACAUGGCAUCCAUACCUCUCUCGCCUGUACUUUUCUCUGACAUGUCGUCUCUCCUUUCCUCGACACUCUCCCUUCUUCUUCCUCUCUCCUGAUCCCAAGCCUGGGAAAUUCCAAAAACCCACCUCUGUAUGUCUUCCCAGCUACUGGCUGAUGGAAUUUUUAUUUACCAGUCAGAACCAAUUGGGGGCAAGUUCCUAGAAACCUGUAAGCAGUUUUGGGGACCCAAAUUAACAUUAGAGUACAAGCAGCAUUAGGGCAAACCCACUACACAGGCCUGUUACCUAGGAAUAGCAAGGGAGUCAUGUAUCUUCAAUACAGCCCACUCGGUCACCUCACCCAAUUCUCAUUGCAACCGAGAGGCUCACAAUGCUUGAUCUCAUGGUGAGGAUUCAGCCAACCCGUUUGCAGAAUAAUCUGAAUUCUUAUAUUAGUGUCAUUAUGUAUAUUAUGUAGAUAUACAUGUGGGCAAAACACACAUACAUACAAAUCAAUCUAAAAACCAAACAAGCAAAACGCCAGAAUCAUUAGGUUAUUUGGGAAGUUUGAUUUGACGUGUCUGCUGGAGUUGAUGGGUCACAGGUAUUUCCCAUGUGGGUAGUUACUGGUAAAUAUCAUUCCAAAUUUCAUAAUUUGAUUAUAAACAAUAAGUUUAUCCAGGUUGGGGAGAUGAUUCAGUUAACAGAGUACACGAGGACCUGAGUUCACUCCCCAGAACCCACAUGAGAAAAGCUGGGUGUAGUGGCAUACAUUUUUAAUCCCAGUCAGUAUUCAGAGGCAGAGGCAAUCAGAUUACUGAAUUCCAGGACAGCCAAGGAGGCUACACAGAGAAAUCCUGUCUUGAAAAACAAACAGAA
rnacentral:lncRNA from 1 species